rnacentral:rRNA from 1 species
GGGUGCAAGCGUUAUCCGGAAUCAUUGGGCGUAAAGGGUGCGUAGGCGGAUUAUUAAGUCAAAGGUGAAAUCCCACGGCUUAACCGUGGAACUGCCUUUGAAACUGUUAAUCUAGAAUUAUGGAAGGCAGAUGGAAUGGUGGUGUAGGGGUAAAAUCCGUAGAGAUCACUAGGAAUACCGAUUGCGAAGGCGAUCUGCUGGGACAUUAUUGACGCUGAGGCAUGAAAGCGUGGGGAGCGAACAGGAUUAGAUACCCUGGUAGUCCACGCCCUAAACGAUGCACACUAGUUGUUGCGACGCUCGUCGUUGCAGUAAUACAGUUAACACAUUAAGUGUGCCGCCUGGGGAGUACGGUCGCAAGAUUAAAACUCAAAGGAAUAGACGGGGACCCGCACAAGCGGUGGAGCAUGUGGUUUAAUUCGAAGAUACGCGAAGAACCUUACCUAGACUUGAAAUCCUUGGAAUCCUGCAGAGAUGCGGGAGUGCUAGUUUACUAGAACCAAGUGACAGGUGCUGCACGGCUGUCGUCAGCUCGUGUCGUGAGAUGUUGGGUUAAGUCCCGCAACGAGCGCAACCCUCGUGAUUAGUUGCUAACAGUUCGGCUGAGCACUCUAAGGAGACUGCCUUCGUAAGGAGGAGGAAGGUGAGGACGACGUCAAGUCAUCAUGGCCCUUAUGUCCAGGGCGACACACGUGCUACAAUGGGUAGGACAAUGAGAGGCGAUACCGUGAGGUGGAGCAAAUCUAUAAACCUACUCUCAGUUCGGAUUGCAGUCUGCAACUCGACUGCAUGAAGCUGGAAUCACUAGUAAUCGCGGAUCAGCCAUGCCGCGGUGAAUACGUUCCCGGGUC